UGGGGAAUAUUGCACAAUGGGCGCAAGCCUGAUGCAGCCAUGCCGCGUGUAUGAAGAAGGCCUUCGGGUUGUAAAGUACUUUCAGCGGGGAGGAAGGUGUUGUGGUUAAUAACCUCAGCAAUUGACGUUACCCGCAGAAGAAGCACCGGCUAACUCCGUGCCAGCAGCCGCGGUAAUACGGAGGGUGCAAGCGUUAAUCGGAAUUACUGGGCGUAAAGCGCACGCAGGCGGUUUGUCAAGUCGGAUGUGAAAUCCCCGGGCUCAACCCGGGAACUGCAUCCGAAACUGGCAGGCUUGAGUCUUGUAGAGGGGGGUAGAAUUCCAGGUGUAGCGGUGAAAUGCGUAGAGAUCUGGAGGAAUACCGGUGGCGAAGGCGGCCCCCUGGACAAAGACUGACGCUCAGGUGCGAAAGCGUGGGGAGCAAACA
rnacentral:rRNA from 1 species